AGAGUUUGAUCCUGGCUCAGGAUGAACGCUAGCGGCAGGCUUAACACAUGCAAGUCGAGGGGCAGCGCGAUGUAGCAAUACAUUGGCGGCGACCGGCGCACGGGUGCGUAGCACGUAUGGAAUCUGCCCUUUACUGGGGGAUAGCCCGGAGAAAUCCGGAUUAAUACCCCAUAAUAACCGAGGUGGCAUCACCUUGAUUUGAAAGCUCCGGCGGUAAAGGAUGACCAUGCGCACGAUUAGCUAGUAGGUGAGGUAACGGCUCACCUAGGCUACGAUCGUUAGGGGGCCUGAGAGGGUUAUCCCCCACACUGGUACUGAGACACGGACCAGACUCCUACGGGAGGCAGCAGUGAGGAAUAUUGCGCAAUGGAGGCAACUCUGACGCAGCCAUGCCGCGUGCAGGAAGAAGGCGCUACGCGUUGUAAACUGCUUUUAACCGGGAAGAAACCCCAGGACGUGUCCUGGGUUGACGGUACCGGAGGAAUAAGCACCGGCUAACUUCGUGCCAGCAGCCGCGGUAAUACGAAGGGUGCAAGCGUUAUCCGGAUUCAUUGGGUUUAAAGGGUGCGUAGGCGGGGUGGUAAGUCAGUGGUGAAAUCCUGCAGCUUAACUGUAGAAUUGCCAUUGAUACUGCCAUUCUUGAGUACGCUGGAUGUGGGCGGAAUGUGCCGUGUAGCGGUGAAAUGCUUAGAUAUGGCACAGAACACCGAUAGCGAAGGCAGCUCACAACGGCGAAACUGACGCUGAGGCACGAAAGCGUGGGGAUCGAACAGGAUUAGAUACCCUGGUAGUCCACGCCG
rnacentral:rRNA from 1 species